rnacentral:rRNA from 1 species
UACGUAGGGGGCGAGCGUUGUCCGGAAUUAUUGGGCGUAAAGAGCUCGUAGGCGGUGUGUCGCGUCGGCCGUGAAAACCUGCAGCUUAACUGUGGGCGUGCGGUCGAUACGGGCAUCACUGGAGUUCGGCAGGGGAGACUGGAAUUCCUGGUGUAGCGGUGAAAUGCGCAGAUAUCAGGAGGAACACCGGUGGCGAAGGCGGGUCUCUGGGCCGAUACUGACGCUGAGGAGCGAAAGCGUGGGGAGCGAACAGG